GAUGAACGCUAGCUACAGGCUUAACACAUGCAAGUCGAACGCGGGCACUUGUGCCCGAGUGGCGAACGGGUGAGUAAUACAUAAGUAACCUGGCCUUUACAGGGGGAUAACUGCUGGAAACGGCAGCUAAGACCGCAUAGGUAGGGACACUGCAUGGUGACCGUAUUAAAAGUGCUGCAAGGCACUGGUAGAGGAUGGACUUAUGGCGCAUUAGCUGGUUGGUGAGGUAACGGCUCACCAAGGCGACGAUGCGUAGCCGACCUGAGAGGGUGACCGGCCACACUGGGACUGAGACACGGCCCAG
rnacentral:rRNA from 1 species